UACGAAGGGGGCUAGCGUUGCUCGGAAUCACUGGGCGUAAAGGGUGCGUAGGCGGGUCUUUAAGUCAAGGGGGAAAUCCUGGAGCUCAACUCCAGAACUGCCUUUGAUACUGAGGAUCUUGAGUUCGGGAGAGGUGAGUGGAACUGCGAGUGUAGAGGUGAAAUUCGUAGAUAUUCGCAAGAACACCAGUGGCGAAGGCGGCUCACUGGCCCGAUACUGACGCUGAGGAGCGAAAGCGUGGGGAGCAAACAGG
rnacentral:rRNA from 1 species